rnacentral:rRNA from 1 species
UACGUAGGGUGCAAGCGUUGUCCGGAAUUAUUGGGCGUAAAGAGCUCGUAGGCGGCUUGUCGCGUCGAAUGUGAAAACCUGCAGCUCAACUGCAGGCUUGCAUUCGAUACGGGCAGACUGGAGUACUGCAGGGGAGACUGGAAUUCCUGGUGUAGCGGUGGAAUGCGCAGAUAUCAGGAGGAACACCGGUGGCGAAGGCGGGUCUCUGGGCAGUAACUGACGCUGAGGAGCGAAAGCGUGGGGAGCGAACAGG